ACAGCAGUAGCCGCGGGAAUACGAAGGGUGCAAGCGUUAAUCGGAAUUACUGGGCGUAAAGCGUGCGUAGGUGGUGGUUUAAGUCCGUUGUGAAAGCCCUGGGCUCAACCUGGGAAUUGCAGUGGAUACUGGGUCACUAGAGUGUGGUAGAGGAUAGUGGAAUUUCCGGUGUAGCAGUGAAAUGCGUAGAGAUCGGAAGGAACAUCUGUGGCGAAGGCGACUAUCUGGGCCAACACUGACACUGAGGCACGAAAGCGUGGGGAGCAAACAGGAUUAGAUACCCGAGUAGUCCCUGUCUCUUAUAC
rnacentral:rRNA from 1 species